GUGUCAGCAGCCGCGGUAAUACGGAGGGUGCAAGCGUUGUUCGGAUUUAUUGGGCGUAAAGAGCGUGUAGGCGGUUUUGCAAGUCAGGUGUGAAAUCCCGGGGCUUAACCCCGGAACUGCGCCUGAAACUGCAGGACUUGAGUACGGGAGAGGUAGGUGGAAUUCCUGGUGUAGAGGUGAAAUUCGUAGAUAUCAGGAGGAACACCCGUGGCGAAAGCGACCUACUGGACCGAUACUGACGCUGAGACGCGAAAGCGUGGGGAGCAAACAGGAUUAGAUACCCGCGUAGUCC
rnacentral:rRNA from 1 species